AUUGAACGCUGGCGGCAGGCUUAACACAUGCAAGUCGAACGAGUGGCGGACGGGUGAGUAAUGUCUGGGAAACUGGCUUAUGGAGGGGGAUAACUACUGGAAACUGUAGCUAAUACCGCGUACCAUAGGAUGAGCCCAGGUGGGAUUAGCUAGUUGGUGGGGUAAAGGCUCACCAAGCCGACGAUCUCUAGCUGGUCUGAGAGGAUGACCAGCCACACUGGAACGGAGACACGGCCCAGACUCCUACGGGAGGCAGCAGUGGGGAAUAUUGCGCAAUGGGGGCAACCCUGACGCAGCCAUGCCGCGUGAAUGAAGAAGGCCUUCGGGUUGUAAAGUUCUUUCGGUAGGGAGGCGUUACCUACAGAAGAAGCACCGGCUAACUCCGUGCCAGCAGCCGCGGUAAUUC
rnacentral:rRNA from 1 species